AGAAUCAACGCUGGCGGCGUGCCUCAGACAUGCAAGUCGAACGCGAAAGUCCCCUUCGGGAGACGAGUAGAGUGGCGCACGGGUGAGUAACACGUAGGUAAUCUACCUUUGGAUGGGGAAUAACAAUCGGAAACGGUUGCUAAUACCGCAUAAUGCAGCGGCACCUAAUGGUGACAGUUGUUAAAGCGGGGGAUCGAAAGACCUCGCGUCUGAAGAGGAGCCUGCGGCGGAUUAGCUAGUUGGUAAGGUAACGGCUUACCAAGGCGACGAUCCGUA
rnacentral:rRNA from 1 species